rnacentral:rRNA from 1 species
GACGAACGCUGGCGGCGUGCUUAACACAUGCAAGUCACGGGGGCCCGCAAGGGCAACCGGCGAACGGGUGCGUAACACGUGAGCAACCUACCGAGAUCUGGGGGAUAGCCGGCCCAACGGCCGGGUAAUACCGCAUACGCUCUUUCCACGGCAUUGUGGAUUGAGGAAACCUCCGGGGGAUUUCGAGGGGCUCGCGGCCUAUCAGCUAGUUGGUGCGGUCACGGCGCACCAAGGCGACGACGGGUAGCUGGUCUGAGAGGAUGGCCAGCCACAUUGGGACUGAGAAACGGCCCAGACUCCUACGGGAGGCAGCAGUGGGGAAUCUUGCGCAAUGGCCGAAAGGCUGACGCAGCGACGCCGCGUGUGGGAGGAAGCCUUUCGGGUGUAACCACUGUUGCCCGGGACGAACAGCUCCUUCGUGAGCCUGACGGUACCGGGUGAGGAAGCACCGGCUAACUCCGUGCCAGCCGCCGCGGU